UCACUUUCUCUGAUGAUGCAGAAUUAGAUACCCAGCGAAAUUUUGGUGUCUUGGCCUCUGUCAGAAGAAUAUCUCCUAACUGAAUGUUUUGCCUCCAAUUGAAAGAUCCAGUUGGACUAUCUCUCAGCUUGAUAACAGAGAGCCCCCGGGUGUACAGGGAGAAUCCAAACCCCCAGGACUGGCCCAGCCCCAAGUGCCUAUAAUUAAUUGUUCAACUAACCAGUUCACCUGCCUCCAUGCAGAUCAAAUAAUACCCAGUGAGCCUAGAAAUAAAGGGGAACUGCAGUCUGUAUUGCCUGGCUUGGAGAGGCUGGCACCCGAGUGGCUGCCAGUCACCCUGGAAAAUGUGUCUUCUGUCUAUGAAGGAACCUGGGACCUCUGAUUCUCAUGAGCCUGAUUUUUUCCAGAGAAACAGGGGUAUGCUGCCUUGGACCUUAAACAUACAUCCUUCAGUCUCCCACAGGCAGAGCCCAGCGCUUCCGGACAUCUCAAAACCUUCUCACCUGUUUGUCCAUGAACCAGGAGACAAAAGAGGCUAUAACUCAAACGCUGGGGCCCUGGAAACCCUGUGACAAACUGUCCAACAUCUAGAGUCUGUAUGUAGCCACAGGAUGGCCCACCUAAGAGCUGUGGCAGCUAUUGCUGGUCUAAUGAAAAGCAAAUAAACAAGUUAACUCUGGGUCAGGAUCUUAUAACUCACAGCACCCCAUGUGGUUGGGGCCCUCCUCCGAGGAACACCAGAAUGCUGGGUGUCUAAGGCCCAGUACCAGGCCCUACUCCUGACCCACCCUUGAGUCCAGUUAGAGAAACCCACUGCUAUCAAUUCGGCUACCCUCUUGCUUGAUGAUGAAGGUGCUAGUCCAUGACUGCCAGGAGAUGAAAGAUGAAACCGUGUCUGUGGGAGCUGUAGUAGUUUACUUUCACGAGAUGAUGUGGGCCUAAGCCAGAUACCUCAGCCUAAAAAGCAGAACGGAUUGAUCUGACCCAGGCUCUCAGACAGGGAAAAGGAAAGUCCGCCAUCAUAUACAUGGACAGUUGCUAUGCUUUUACUGCUGGUAUCUCCACGGUAUGAUCUAUUGCAAAAGAGGGCUUCUGGGGGGGGGGGGAAAUCUUAGCCCUCCCAGAGACUACUUGGCUUCCCAUACAAACUGCUGUCCUUCACUCCAGCUGCUGACCUGGCCGUCUGACAAAUGGCCCUAAGACUGUGGGGCCUCCUGACUCCAUAGUAAAGAAGAAAUGUAUAGCUCAAACCUACAGGUCUGUGGAGGACCUGUAGAGGGAAAGAUCAUUCUCCCAGAAACAACUGGCAGGACUCUGGUAACUGGCCUUCACUAUGCUUCGACUGAGGUUCCCAGAACUUUCUGAGCUGCUCAGACCAAGGUGUGUUAUAACUAGACUGGACGGCCUGGCACAAGGUGUCUCAGUCAGAUGCCACACUUGUGCUCAGUUAAUGCAAAAACAGAGAUCCCUUACUCAGAAAGGGGUCUGAGUGAGAGACCAACACCCUGGUGAACUCUGGGAAAACUGACUUCACUGAGAUCGGCCAGGCUGGCCUCAAACUCACAGCAUUCUGCCUGCCUCUGCCUCCCCGAGGGCUGGGAUUACAGGUGCGUGCCAUCUUGCCUGGCUUGAUAGUUUUUUUUUUUAAUACUUUAUUUAUUUUUAUUUUCUGUGCAUUGAUGUUUUACCUGCAUGUGUCUGUGUGAGGGUGUUGGGUUCCCUGGAACUGGCGCUACAGAUGCCAUGUGGCUACUGGAAAUUGAACCGGGGUCCUCUGGAAGAGCAGUCAGUGCUCUUAACCCCUAAGCCAUCUCCCCAGCCUAUCCUUUCUAGUUUGUAUAGUUAUGUACCUUUUCCCAGGUGGGUAGAAGCAUUCCCCUCCCAGACUGAAGUUGCUCAAAAACAGUAGGAAAAAGCCCCUCCAGGAAGUGAUCCCCUGAUUUGGCCUCCCCUUGCAAUGGGCUCUGACAAUGGCCUUUCAUAGCUCAGACCUUUCAAUUAAUAGUGACCAUACAUUGAAAACUUCAUUGUGCAUACAGACCUCAGAAUUCUGGGCAGGUAAAAAGAAUAAGCAGAACAUUAAAAUAAAUUAACAAAGGGCUGGAGAGAUGGCCCAGUGGUUAAGAGCUCUGUCUGCUCUUCCAAGAGGUCCUGAGUUCAAUUCCCAGCAACCAUAUGGUGGCUCACAACCAUCUACACCCUCUACUGCCCUCUUCUGGCAUGCAGGUGUACAUGCAGAUAGAGCAUUCAAAAUAAAUAAAUAAAUAAAAAUCUUAAAAAAAACUAACACAA